rnacentral:rRNA from 1 species
GAUGAACGCUGGCGGCGUGCUUAACACAUGCAAGUCAAGGGGGCCCAGCAAUGGGCAACCGGCGAACGGGUGCGUAACACGUGAGCAACCUACCGAAUUGUGGGGGAUAGCCGGCCCAACGGCCGGGUAAUACCGCAUACGCUCGAGACCAGGCAUUUGGAUUCGAGGAAAUUUACGGAGCAAUUCGAGGGGCUCGCGGC